AGUGAACGCUGGCGGUAGGCCUAACACAUGCAAGUCGAACGGCAGCACAGUAGGAGCUUGCUCUUACGGGUGGCGAGUGGCGGACGGGUGAGGAAUACAUCGGAAUCUACUUUUUCGUGGGGGAUAGCGUAGGGAAACUUACGCUAAUACCGCAUACGACCUACGGGUGAAAGCAGGGGAUCUUCGGACCUUGCGCGAUUGAAUGAGCCGAUGUCGGAUUAGCUAGUUGGCGGGGUAAAGGCCCACCAAGGCGACGAUCCGUAGCUGGUCUGAGAGGAUGAUCAGCCACACUGGAACUGAGACACGGUCCAGACUCCUACGGGAGGCAGCAGUGGGGAAUAUUGGACAAUGGGCGCAAGCCUGAUCCAGCCAUACCGCGUGGGUGAAGAAGGCCUUCGGGUUGUAAAGCCCUUUUGUUGGGAAAGAAAAGCAGCAGGUUAAUACCCCGCUGUUCUGACGGUACCCAAAGAAUAAGCACCGGCUAACUUCGUG
rnacentral:rRNA from 1 species